AGCUAAUCUAAACUAAUGUAUCAUGUGCUACCAAGAGGCACACAAGUUCAUGGAUGUAUUAUUAGAGCUUGAUACUGGAUCGAAAAUGACGCCCAUUCAGUUCUACUGAGUUGCUCGCCUGGCGCAUGCGCUGAAAAAGUGGAGAAAGGUCCAGCUGCGGAACUACAAAACACGCCCACUAUAAAACACGUCUAUUACGACAUACGCCAACUAGAGGCAGCCGUCUGCCCUCAAACGUCACUAUAUCGCGGAAGAAGAUGAGCUAUCGAGUGAGUGGAAAAUGUGAGGAGAAUGCUGCUCAGGUGUCACCAUGUAGUCCACGAUCGGCAAGAAGUCGUUCACGAUCACAGAGACAUGGUCCAUGAUCGGAGAGACAUUGUUGAGGAUGAGGGAGACAUCGUCCACGAUCAGAGACAUUGUCCGUGAUCACAGAGAUCUUGUCAAAGACGAGAGAGACGUUGUCCAUGAUCAGAGACAUUGUCCAUGCUUCGUAGAGACCUUGCGAUAGAAUCGGCGGAGACGGGGGUCACCGAUUUGACGGCAUUGCCCGCGAUCAGGGACAUUGUCGAUGAUCACAGAGACACUCGUCUAUGAUCUCAGAGACAUCGUCCAUGAUCGCAAAGACGUAGUCCAUGAUCGCAGAGACAUUGUCCAUAAUCUCAGAGACAUUGUCCGCGAUCACAGAGACGUUGUCCACGAUCACAGAGAGUCUUUGUACAAUGAAGAAGUUGUUUGAGAGCAGGACAGAGGCCUCCAGGUGUCACCAUGUAGUCCACGAUCGGCAAGAAGUCGUUCACGAUCACAGAGACAUGGUCCAUGAUCGGAGAGACAUUGUUGAGGAUGAGGGAGACAUCGUCCACGAUCAGAGACAUUGUCCGUGAUCACAGAGAUCUUGUCAAAGACGAGAGAGACGUUGUCCAUGAUCAGAGACAUUGUCCAUGCUUCGUAGAGACCUUGCGAUAGAAUCGGCGGAGACGGGGGUCACCGAUUUGACGGCAUUGCCCGCGAUCAGGGACAUUGUCGAUGAUCACAGAGACACUCGUCUAUGAUCUCAGAGACAUCGUCCAUGAUCGCAAAGACGUAGUCCAUGAUCGCAGAGACAUUGUCCAUAAUCUCAGAGACAUUGUCCGCGAUCACAGAGAUGUAGUGCAAGAUCACAGAGAGUCUUUAUACAAUGAAGAAGUUGUUUGAGAGCAGGACAGAGGCCUCCAGAAGGAGAUGACAACAGCAGCUGAAGACCUGAAAUGGAUGACAGAAAAGAAGUGUUACGAUAAAAGACCUCCACCAUCUAACUGCUGUAAACAGUGUUGGUUCCCUGUUCAAGUGGAAACACUGUUUUUCUAUACCUUCUAUGAUGUAGUCAAGGGCACAUUUUCCACAGACAAAUAUGUCUAUUAAACACCUGAGAACAUUAAACUGCUUAUGAUACAACUAUUUAAUUAAUAACUGUAUCACAAGCAGUUACGUGAUCACAAAUAUGCUUAGUAGACAUGUUUAUCUUUGGAAAAUGUGCUCAUAACUAUAUAAACGCUUAACAGUUCUAUCAAGUGUUUCCUUGUGGUCAAAUGUCUGUCAUUAUCUUUGCUGUGAUUUGUUGAAUGUUGUCUGGAAUAAAAUCAUUUAGUGUCUUUCUGCACUUUUGAAUUGCAUUUCUCUAUUUUGUAACCGAUGUUAUUAAAACAUUUUAUUGCAUUUUGUUUUAAGAAAAAAUAUAAUGAUUCUCAUGUUUAAUUUUUACACCUGUUUUUAAACAUUUUCAAAAUAUAUAUUUUACAAGGUUUUUUUAUGGUUUUAUACUUAAAAGAGUUUACA